UACAGAGGUCUCAAGCGUUGUUCGGAUUCAUUGGUCGUAAAGGGUGCGUAGGUGGCGCCGUAAGUCAGGUGUGAAAUUUCGGAGCUUAACUCCGAAACUGCAUUUGAUACUGCGGUGCUUGAGGACUGGAGAGGAGACUGGAAUUUACGGUGUAGCAGUGAAAUGCGUAGAGAUCGUAAGGAAGACCAGUGGCGAAGGCGGGUCUCUGGACAGUUACUGACGCUCAGGCACGAAAGCAUGGGGAGCAAAAGGG
rnacentral:rRNA from 1 species